rnacentral:rRNA from 1 species
UACGUAGGGUGCGAGCGUUAAUCGGAAUUACUGGGCGUAAAGCGUGCGCAGGCGGUUCGUUGUGUCGGUGGUGAAAGCCCCGGGCUUAACCUGGGAAUGGCCAUGGAAACUGGCGAACUGGAGUGUGGCAGAGGGGGGUGGAAUUCCGCGUGUAGCAGUGAAGUGCGUAGAGAUGCGGAGGAACACCGAUGGCGAAGGCAGCCCCCUGGGCUGACACUGACGCUCAGGCACGAAAGCGUGGGGAGCAAACAGG